AACGAACGCUGGCGGCGUGCCUAACACAUGCAAGUCGAACGUGAAAGUCCUUCGGGAUGAGUAAAGUGGCGCACGGGUGAGUAACACGUAGGUGACCUGCCGUUUAGAGGGGGAUAACCAGAAGAAAUUUUGGCUAAUACCGCAUACGAAGUACAAAUCUUAGAGUAGUACUUGAAAGAAUGCCUCUGUAUAUGCAUUUACUAAACGAUGGGCCUGCGGUGCAUUAGCUAGUUGGUGGGGUAAUGGCCUACCAAGGCGACGAUGCAUAUCCGGUCUGAGAGGAUGAUCGGACACACUGGAACUGAGACACGGUCCAGACUCCUACGGGAGGCAGCAGUGGGGAAUAUUGCACAAUGGGCGAAAGCCUGAUGCAGCGACGCCGCGUGAGGGAUGACGGCCUUCGGGUUGUAAACCUCUUUCAGCAGGGAAGAAGCGAAAGUGACGGUACCUGCAGAAGAAGCACCGGCUAACUACGUG
rnacentral:rRNA from 1 species